UUUGGGCCCAACCUCCCAUCCGUGUCUAUUGUACCCUGUUGCUUCGGCGGGCCCGCCGCUUGUCGGCCGCCGGGGGGGCGCCUCUGCCCCCCGGGCCCGUGCCCGCCGGAGACCCCAACACGAACACUGUCUGAAAGCGUGCAGUCUGAGUUGAUUGAAUGCAAUCAGUUAAAACUUUCAACAAUGGAUCUCUUGGUUCCGGCAUCGAUGAAGAACGCAGCGAAAUGCGAUAACUAAUGUGAAUUGCAGAAUUCAGUGAAUCAUCGAGUCUUUGAACGCACAUUGCGCCCCCUGGUAUUCCGGGGGGCAUGCCUGUCCGAGCGUCAUUGCUGCCCUCAAGCCCGGCUUGUGUGUUGGGUCGCCGUCCCCCUCUCCGGGGGGACGGGCCCGAAAGGCAGCGGCGGCACCGCGUCCGAUCCUCGAGCGUAUGGGGCUUUGUCACAUGCUCUGUAGGAUUGGCCGGCGCCUGCCGACGUUUUCCAACCAUUCUUUCCAGGUUGACCUCGGAUCAGGUAGGGAUACCCGCUGAACUUAAGCAUAUCAAUAAGCGGAGGAA
rnacentral:rRNA from 1 species